CUAUGGCAAAACUGGUUAAUGCAUCGCCGAUUACACGCGAAGAUGCGGGUUCGAGUCCCGCUGG
rnacentral:tRNA from 1 species